GAUGAACGCUCGCUACAGGCUUAACACAUGCAAGUCGAGGGGCAGCAUGAACUUAGCUUGCUAAGUUUGAUGGCGACCGGCGCACGGGUGAGUAACACGUAUCCAACCUGCCGAUGACUCGGGGAUAGCCUUUCGAAAGAAAGAUUAAUACCCGAUGGCAUAGUUCUUCCGCAUGGUAGAACUAUUAAAGAAUUUCGGUCAUCGAUGGGGAUGCGUUCCAUUAGGUUGUUGGCGGGGUAACGGCCCACCAAGCCUUCGAUGGAUAGGGGUUCUGAGAGGAAGGUCCCCCACAUUGGAACUGAGACACGGUCCAAACUCCUACGGGAGGCAGCAGUGAGGAAUAUUGGUCAAUGGACGAGAGUCUGAACCAGCCAAGUAGCGUGAAGGAUGACUGCCCUAUGGGUUGUAAACUUCUUUUAUACGGGAAUAAAGUGAGACACGUGUGCCUUUUUGUAUGUACCGUAUGAAUAAGGAUCGGCUAACUCCGUG
rnacentral:rRNA from 1 species